rnacentral:ncRNA from 1 species
GAACGCCGUAUGCGGUGAAAGUCGCACGUACGGUGUGGAGCAGGGGAAAAGCUAGAGAAUGAACGGAUUAUUGUUUGCAAGAAUAAUCGACUUUCAAAAGCUUACCUAUUGCUAU